rnacentral:lncRNA from 1 species
UUAUUUUUUUUUUUAAGAGUGGGAAGCAUGAAAGUGGGAGGGGAGAGGAGCAGAAAAAGGAAAUUUCUGGAGCCUUGGAGCUUGCUUUUCCCUCUCCUUCCCCGCUCCCAAGAUGGCUUGAAAAAAGUAAAAAGGGACAGUAAUAAGGGGGACACACACACAGAGAAAAGCUCGUGAAGAGGGAAAAAGUUUGGGGAAUUGGGGUUUCUUGUGCGUGUGUUUGGUCUUUGUGUUUGGGGUUUUCGUUUUGGGUUUUUUUGAUUGUUUGUUUUUUAAACCAUAGGAUCCCAGAAUGACAGAAGCGACUACAAACACCCGGGAAGAGCAGGCACAAGGAGAGGAACGAGCGAGAGAAAAGAGUUUUGCUGCCAAGCUUUAGGUAAAAGUCUGAUCUGGGAGAUCAUUGCAGAGUGAAAUUGGACAGAUUCAUUGCUAACCUGAAGACACAAAGCAGGAGUCAGGAAGACUCAAACACAGCAACAUCAGACCUCGCUUCACUGAGAGUAGGAGCUGCAUCCUUUGCCUCCUGUUUGCAGUGACCAAAGUACUGCCAGCACUACAGAUUCAGGGACAUCUGUCUUUUCUGCAAUCCAUAAGGCACCUGGUUCUUUUCAGUAGUUUACACAGCUCAAGCAGUUUGAGACUCUUGUCUUUCAAUGAGACUUUUCAGCAAGCUGAACAACCCCAGCUCUCUCCAAAGGAAGGGAAAAGGUGGUGGACUUUUUUUCCACGGGAUAUUGGUGGAAUGGGAACACUGAAACACGUCAGGAACAUUUUG